CCUACGGGAGGCAGCAGUGAGGAAUAUUGGUCAAUGGCCGCAAGCCUGAACCAGCCAAGCCGCGUGAAGGACGAAGGUUCCAUGCAUUGUAAACUUCUUUUGUCAGGGGACAAAAUCCGGCGCGUGCGCCUGACUGCGGGUACCUUAAGAAAAAGCAUCGGCUAACUCCGUGCCAGCAGCCGCGGUAAUACGGAGGAUGCGUGCGUUAUCCGGAUUGACUGGGCGUAAAGGGUGCGUAGGGGGUGAGACAAGUUAGUAGCGAAACUCCGGGGCUCAACUUCGGAACUGCUGCUGAAACUGUGGGACUGGAGUGCAGGAGAGGCAAUCGGAAUUCCUGGUGUAGCGGUGAAAUGCGUAGAUAUUAGGAGGAACACCAGUGGUGAAGGCGGAUUGCUGGACUGUAACUGACGCUGAGGCACGAAAGCGUGGGGAGCAAACAGGAUUAGAUACCCCAGUAGUC
rnacentral:rRNA from 1 species